GGACCUGCUAUCUCUGCCUCUUCCACCGUGUGAUUCCAUAUAGAAGGUACUACCUAUGAGGAACACACCCUCAUCUGACCAAAUCUCCAGGUACCUUGAUCUUGGACUUCCAGGUCUCCUAAAAGAUAGGGUCUCACUAUGUAACCCAGACUGGCCUUAAAUUCAGCAUGUAGCCCAAGCUAGCUCAAACUCUCAACUCUCCUGCCUCAACCUAAGCUACGCAUCUAAAAUAUGAUUACAAAUAACCUGGGGAUAUAUCAUACAUGAAAUAAAUUGGUCUUGAGUGAACAACUAUUAAAGGUAAAUGAUGCAUAUAUAA